ACGGAGAUGGGCGAUGAGGCUCGCCCUUGAGCGCACGUUCCGUGCUGAUGGCCUCUGCGAGCAC
rnacentral:ncRNA from 1 species